GACGAACCGUGCGAACGUUGUUCGGAAUUACUGGGCGUAAAGGGCGCGUAGGCGGCCCGCUAAGUCGAACGUGAAAUCCCCAGGCUCAACCUGGGAACUGCGUCCGAUACUGGCAGGCCUGAAUCCGGGAGAGGGAUGUGGAAUUCCAGGUGUAGCGGUGAAAUGCGUAGAUAUCUGGAGGAACACCGGUGGCGAAGGCGGCAUCCUGGACCGGUAUUGACGCUGAGGCGCGAAAGCUAGGGUAGCAAACGGG
rnacentral:rRNA from 1 species